GCACCUAUAGCUCAGUUGGUUAGAGCAAAUCACUCAUAAUGAUUAGGCCCUAGGUUCAAGUCCUAGUGGGUGCA
rnacentral:tRNA from 1 species